UAGCAGCUUCACUACCUUCUCUCC
rnacentral:siRNA from 1 species